AACGGCCGUACCAUGCUGAAUAUACCGGUUCUCGUUAGAUCACCGAAGUCAAGCAUCAUUGGGCGCGAUCAGUACUUGGGUGGGUGACCACCUGGGAACACUGCGUGCCGUU
rnacentral:rRNA from 1 species